CUGAGCCGUAUGAGGUAGGAAACUCUCAAGUACGGUUCUAAGGGAAGGAACUUCGGUUCUUUCAAUACAAUGAAAAAUUCAAAAGGGUUUCUAUUUAGU
rnacentral:ncRNA from 1 species